UGGGGAAUUUUGGACAAUGGGGGAAACCCUGAUCCAGCCAUCCCGCGUGUGCGAUGAAGGCCUUCGGGUUGUAAAGCACUUUUGGCAGGAAAGAAACGUCGCGGGUUAAUACCCCGCGAAACUGACGGUACCUGCAGAAUAAGCACCGGCUAACUACGUGCCAGCAGCCGCGGUAAUACGUAGGGUGCAAGCGUUAAUCGGAAUUACUGGGCGUAAAGCGUGCGCAGGCGGUUCGGAAAGAAAGAUGUGAAAUCCCAGAGCUUAACUUUGGAACUGCAUUUUUAACUACCGGGCUAGAGUGUGUCAGAGGGAGGUAGAAUUCCGCGUGUAGCAGUGAAAUGCGUAGAUAUGCGGAGGAACACCGAUGGCGAAGGCAGCCUCCUGGGAUAACACUGACGCUCAUGCACGAAAGCGUGGGGAGCAAACAGGAUUAGAUACCCUGGUAGUCCACGCCCUAAACGAUGUCAACUAGCUGUUGGGGCCUUCGGGCCUUGGUAGCGCAGCUAACGCGUGAAGUUGACCGCCUGGGGAGUACGGUC
rnacentral:rRNA from 1 species